UGAAGAAUUCUGGAAUGAAUCUUCGCCUAAAGGGCGCUUACACUAUGCUUGUAGGCGUUGCCCAAGGAUGGGGCCGCGACCGAUCAGGUAGUUGGUGAGGCAACGGCUCACCAAGCCUUUUACCGGUGCGGGCCGUGGGAGCGGGAGCCCGGAGAUGGGCACUGAGACAAGGGCCCAGGCCCUACGGGGCGCAGCAGUCGCGAAAACUUUGCAAUACACGAAAGUGUGACAGGGCUAUCCCGAGUGCCAUCCGCUGAGGAAGGCUUUUACCCAGUUUAGAACGCUGGGGGAAUAAGGAGAGGGCAAGACUGGUGUCAGCCGCCGCGGUAAUACCAGCUCUCCGAGUGGUGUGGAUGUUUAUUGGGCCUAAAGCAUCCGUAGCUGGCUGGACAAGUCCCCUGAUUAAUCCACCGAUUUAAUCGUUGGUGUGCGGGGGAUACUGUUCGGC
rnacentral:rRNA from 1 species